rnacentral:lncRNA from 12 species
AUGCACGGAAUGCAUUUCUAUUUCCAGCCCCAGCCAGGCCCCUGGAAACCCAGAAACACAGGCAGAGCUGCAAAGAAGAAAGUCCUAACUUUCAGGGCUUGGGAAGGAUUUCUGUUCGAGGUGGACAAGGGGAUCUCAGGUUCGGGCAGACGCGUGUGCAGAGCCUCCUCCCCCUGGGCUGCCGCUGAAGCUGCCCGUCCAGGCUGGUCCAGCCGAGCUGUUUUCCAAAGAAUCUUUGGGAGCAACUUAGAGCGGACCCUUAUCAAAGAAUUAAUUAUUGGAACUAAAGGCAGCAUAAAAUCUCUCCAAACCAUGAGCGCCUCGUCCCAAGAAUUCUCAGGAACACGUGACAACCUGUGCAGGUCUGUGGGUCUCUUGCAGGGAGGGGGGCACUCACCCUCUAGAUGCACACCUCCACCUGCCUCCCACCCCCUGACCCCCCCAGCCAUGUGCCUCUGAGCACCUGUGCAGGUCUGUGAGCCCCUGGGGGGUCUGCUCACCCUUUAGAUGCACACCUCCACCUGUCUCCCUCCCCCCCCACCCAGUUUCGUGUCCCUGGGGACAUCUGGGACACCAGUAGCCACAGGUGAGCAGAUAACACCUGUGCCGGUGAAUAGCACAGGUGCCUCUCAGCGCCCUCGAGCUCCGGGGCCGGCUUGGACCCCAGCCCUCUGACGGGAGCUGGAGCCCCUAGGUGUCCGCGGCUGGGGGAGCCCAGAACAGGACGGCCGUGUCUGUGGUGCUGUAGGGCCCCCGUGGCCGCCCACCUCCACCAGGCCCCUGCGAGAACCGUACCGCGGGAGGCAGCGUCCGGGCCACAGGAGCAGAGGCCUUCCUCCGUCCAGUCCGGCAGGCGGCUGACACCGACAUUGUCCAUCCUAAUUCCGUGACCCUCCAUGGACAGAUGGCCACGCACGGCGGGGUAACAGCGCGUGCCCUCGGCCUGCGGCUGACUGACCAAGUAUCCGAAGCAGCGGCCGCAGAGCGUGCAGGUGCGUGAUCAAGCCGCCGCCAGGGUCAGCGGCCAACAACUGUCCGGUGGCAGUGGUGGCGCUGGGAACCGGAGGAGUGGAAGGCGGGGUGCCCCAGGCGGCCUCAGGGCAGAUGCAGGGGGACGCGCAGCCCCAGACGACACUGGUGCAUCAGUGGGGGGAGCAGCAUGAGGUUGUGGAGACCAGGGGAGCCCGGCUCUGAACCGCUCGGUGUGGGGUGACCGGCCCCCCCCGGAGGGAAUGCCCCCCCACACCGGCGGAGACGGGCCUGGCGUCUGGGAGGGGCUGGCCCUGGCCCACGGCCUGCGUCUGGUGGGUGCCCCCACCCCGGUUUCCAGGCUGCCCCCCCAGCCGCAGUCUCUGAGCCGUUCCUGCGGUGUUUAUGGAAAUGUAAUUCUGCCCGGGAGAUGCAUGUAUAAUUGAGAAUCUUUUAAUGUCUGUUUACAGUCGCGGUUCUCGCUUGAGUGAUUACAAGCAUCGAGGGAGCUGAUUGUACCCGGGGCGGUCUCCGUGGGCGCGGGGCUCUGGGUGCCUGUUUCUGCCGUUCGAGUGCCACUUUAUCUGGAAUAGUCCUCUGGGUCCGGAGCAGAAAGUGACCUCAGCGAUGAGCCCGUCUGCGUCACGGGCCUCGGGCUGCGGCGCUCCGUGUCACUCUCUGGGGGCUUAAGCAGCAUGCGGCCCUGUCUCAGAGUCUGGGGGCCUGAGGCUGAGCUCCAGGCGUUGGCGGGGCUGUGCUCCCCCCACCCCCCGAAGGCUCCAGGGGUGGGUCCUCCUGCCUCUCCCAGCUGCUGCUCGUUACCCAGACUCCUUGGCUCGUGUCACAUCACCCCAGUGCCUGUCACAUGGCCUUCUCCCCUCCUCAUAGAGGGGGUCUGGGGGUCCCCUCCUCAUAGGGUCUGUGUCUGGGGGUCCCCUCCUCCUAGACACCAGCUGCUGGGGAGAGGGCCCGCCCUCAUCCCUUACGGCCUCACCUUAACUGGCUCACAUCUGCAAAGACCCUAUUUCCAAAUAAAGUCACAUCAUGAUCUUCCA